rnacentral:piRNA from 1 species
UAUAAAAUGAAGGUAACAGAAAGGUGGAG